GACCUUUUCUUGGGCGCGCGAAACUCUUAUAUGUCGAUUGCUGCCUUGUGCAGCUAUGGCAAUAAACGGGCGGUGUAAUAAACCCAUUGGACCCGGGGGCGGUACCCGGCGCCUCCACCAAAAACCGAUCUGCGCGAUCGGCUUUUGAUGGGGGCGAAAUAGGAUCGACAAGGGCGUAAAGAUCGACUUUUUGCUCGGCAUUGUACCACCGUUAUCGGGCUAAACUUAUAGUUGCAAACGACAACUAUGCUGAAGCACGUCUCGCUGCUUAAUCGCGGUGCGACACUUCAAAUCAAGUCCUUGCGGGUAGCACUGUAAGGCGGGGUCCGAAGGCACCUGGCAACAGAAGCCUUCACC
rnacentral:tmRNA from 1 species